UUCUCAAAAGUUAAGUUGCACUUUUCUUAAUCUCAAACUCUACUCUGCAAAUAUUCCAAUUUCAGCUUUUUUCCUCUCUCUGCUAAACUAAGCCACCCCAUUAAUUAGCUCUUCAAUUCUACAACUAACAUCACCUACUGUCCAUGCCUUUUGCUGCUGCAUCAAACCUUUGAUCUCACCUCCAAAUUGGCUUCCAUCUCAUAAUUCCUCCAACAUCACAUCGCUGGCUAUGGCUUUUGCCGCUGUAACCAUUUUAAUGGAUACGCUCCACCAACACUUCCUCCAAUCCACUCCUCGUUUCCCUCUUCGCAACAAAACAAAGGUCAGAUUACUUUACAAACAUCUUUCUUCUUUGCAAACCUCUCUU